AUGCCGUCGCGGAUACCGGCCUGCGGCCUCUUGGAAGUAUCUGCACGUCCAACCACUUCCUGUCGACGUCUCUACCGCUGCAAUCGUUGUAAUUCCAUCUCCCAUAUGUGUACUGACGUCAUUAUUGGUGGAAUUCAUAUAUCUAUAAUCGCCGAGUUUCAGAAAAGAUAUAAGACUAUAAUACUAUGUAGUGUGGGAAUAAUUCAAAACGUGAGCCGCUGGAUGCACUCAGUCCGAUGGUGGAAAGUUGGCAAAUCCUUUUUUUUUCGAAACGGAGGCAAAAAAUUUGCCUCAUCUCAUUAA
rnacentral:rRNA from 1 species